GACGAACGCUGGCGGCGUUCCUAAUACAUGCAAGUAGGACGCAGUUGCGCACGGGUGCGUAACGCGUAGGUAACUACCUAUUAGAGGGGGAUAACUAUUGGAAACGAUAGCUAAUACCGCAUACUAGUAUAUGGCACUGCGUUGUAUUAGCUAGGAGGUAGGGUAAAUGCCUACCUAGGCAACGAUACAUAGCCGACCUGAGAGGGUGAUCGGCCACACUGGGACUGAGACACGGCCCAGACUCCGACGGGAGGCAGCAGUAGGGAAUCUUCGGCAAUGGGGGGAACCCUGAACGAGCAACGCCGCGUGAGUGAAGAAGGUUUUCGGAUCGGAAAGCGCUGUUGUUAAGGAAGCGGUACUUAACCAGAAAGGGACGGCUAACUACGUGCCAGCAGCCGCGGUAAUUC
rnacentral:rRNA from 1 species